GUGAUGAUCUACCUCAGGUUUUUGGCGGGUUUACUCGAUGUGUCCUUGUGUAACGUUAUCCGUGUUCCGCUGUUUAAUGAGGAUAGUGCAUUAGCGCCACUUACUGGUCAAAUUAAAAUAAUGUUAUCGAUCAAAUAUUUAGACAAAAUUCUAUUUAAAUUCGACUUACAUUUCACUCUAUUCUCUAGUCUUGUAUUUUGAAGCCGAUCUAAAACAAAGUGUCGAAACAAGAGGUCGAAUCUCAGGUUGGCUCUGUCUACCCGACAAAUCUCUCGACCAAUCAGAGAAAUGUGCUCUUGUUGCUGUCAUUCAGCGCGGUAGCCAAUGGACCAGCCUGACGGCGUAGCUCCGCCCACGGGGAUAAAUAGACUCGACUGGUUAAUUAUUAUACAAAUAUUUUAUUUAUUAAAGUGUUGUUGUUUUUUGCUUUUAAUGUCCGUACAAACAAUAGUAUAAAAACAAAAAUCCUGAAAAAAAUAAUACUCAAUUCAUGAUACUUGAUAAGCUUGUAAGCCAAUUAGAAGUUCUCGGCUGUUCUUUCGACGGUUUGUUGGUGUUAAAUCCACCCUGAAAAUCUGCUAAAAGUCUAAUUUAAAUGUCAGCACGUCUUCUGUACAUCUAAAACGAAAAUAAGAGAUGGAUACAAAUAUAUGUUUUUAAUUAACAGCGUUACUUGUGCAACCACAAACUUAUCCAGCCAAUAAUGCACGAGACUAAACCUGAGGGCGAAAAACUACAACUUUAUAUCGUAAACGAAGGCUGCACUAUUAUCGACACCUCAUGUAUAUUUUAUAUUUAAACCCGCAAAUAACGUUUUUUUUCUUGUGCAAAGCGCCGUGUUGCACUUCUAUAUUUGUGCAGUUUCACAGUCUGAACACCAGAUGGCAAAAUACUUCAAUGUUGUUGUAACUGAAUGAAUACAGGGGCCCGUUCUUCGUACGUCGCUAACUCGGUUAGCUGGAUUUGAUUGUUGACGAUUUGGCAUGAUCUUGGAUUGUUUGGUUCUUCGAAGCUCAUCCUGGACUUGCUGUCAUAGCAACAGGUCCGUAAGCUUGAACCUGCUCGGGAGCAGGCUUACUUCAUGUAAACAGGAUUAGAUCACGGCUUUAUAAGCGUAGGUGAUAUGGGAAGUCUUUCGCAGACAUGUCUUGUCCGUUUUUACGUCAGGAAUGCGUUGCUGAAGGUACCAGAAUAAUUCAAAGAGCUUUUCGAAUUAAUCGCGUUUUGCGAGAUCGACAGGAUCCUUUAGCGCAGCGCGAUAAUCUACUGAUUGAGAGAUAUCGUUUUUCUCGGGAGGGUGUAAUCUACAUUAUCAACUUGUUGGAGCCACACGUUAAAUGUUGGACUCGUCGCAGUCGGGGUUUAACAACUGCACAGUUUGAAUAGCUUUGCGAUUCUUUGCGAGUGGCACUUUCCUUUACACUAUUGGAGAUGCAGAAUACCUGGGUAAAAAUGCUGUAUGUCGUGCCACUCGCAAAGUUUAUCUGUCACUCAAACAGUUUUUAGGGGGCUUUGUGGUAUUUCCAUGCCACUUAAGACCACAGGCUGUGAAGCAGAUUUUUUUUUGCCAUUGCAGGUACAUUAUAAUUGUUAAUGAAGAUCAUGGAAUCAUGAUCAUGCCAAAAAGUAGCCUAGGACUUACAGUAUUUGUUCCUCAGGCUUCCCUAAUGUUAUUUGUGCCAUAGACUGCACACAGGUCCCCAUCAAGGCCCCACCUGGCCCAAAUGAAGGGGAUUUUUUGAACAGAAAGGGAUUUCACAGUGUAAAUGUGCAAGUAAAUUACUAUAACAAUUAUUCAUAUUCCAGAUAAGCAAUAAAUAAAUAAAAGUAACGUAAUCAAAAAGUAUGCAGACUGAUUUCAAAUAUUUUAGAUGGUGUGCGACUCCAUGUUCCACAUCACAAAUGUGGAAGCCACAUGGCCUGGUUCUGUGGGUGACUCCAGGAUUUUCAGAGAGUCACAUUUAUGCACAUUAUUUGAACGUGGUGCUGACGAUGGGAUCCUGUUCGGCGACAGGGGCUAUGCCUUCAGGCAGGCAGUACUUCAUGACGGCAUUCCCCAACCCAAACCCUGGACCACAAACCCGUUACAAUGCAGCUCUAGCCAGGACAAGGCCACGCAUUGAAAUGACCUUUGGCCAACUAAAGGAAGAUUUCAGUGUCUUAAGGGUCUGAGGGUUGCACCUGGAGAGGACCCCUGUGGUGGAGGUGCAGCCUGAUGAUGACCUCCAGCCAGUGCACUUGGACCAAUAGUGGCAGAGCUGCACAGGACAGUAUUGUGGAACACGAUUUUAUGAAUUCUUUUUUUUACACAUAAACUUUCAUUAAAUGAAUAAUAGAAGACAACA